rnacentral:lncRNA from 1 species
GAGGGUCUCCGCCGGGGCAUCCCUGGUGGACCCCUGACCCCCUUUUCCCUUGUUUUGCAGGUCCUUUCCUCAAAGAAAAUAUGGAGAGACCCAUUUGACAGACCCAUCAAAGAGCCCAAAAAGGAAUCAGAUCCAUAUAAUAGGGGACGAGCGAGAACCAGAUCUAUCGGAUAUGGAGCCCAGGGAGAUUGAGAGUUAUCAAAUGGCGCCGUCUGUGGGAACGAAGGAGAUCUUUUCGUCACCGGAGUUCCUAAAUCCACCCAUUGAGAUCCACAUGAAGGUAUGAAAGCUUAUGCGAAAAGAAAGCUGGAGAUUUACAAUAACCCAGCUGAGUAACCUAGCUGAAAAGAAAGACCUAGCUGGUUCAAGAAUACAUUGAUAGUCUUUUA